rnacentral:rRNA from 1 species
CAACGCCGGAAAUCUUACCGGGACCGACAGCAAUAUGAAGGCCAGGCUGAAGACUUUGCCGGAUUAGCUGAGAGGUGGUGCAUGGCCGUCGUCAGUUCGUACUGUGAAGCAUCCUGUUAAGUCAGGCAACGAGCGAGACCCACGCCCGCAGUUGCCAGCGUACUCUCUGGAGUGACGGGUACACUGUGGGGACCGCCGCUGCUAAAGCGGAGGAAGGAAUGGGCAACGGUAGGUCAGCAUGCCCCGAAUUAUCUGGGCUACACGCGGGCUACAAUGGGUGGGACAAUGGGUAUCGACACCGAAAGGUGAAGGCAAUCUCCUAAACCCAUCCGUAGUUCGGAUUGUGGGCUGCAACUCGCCCACAUGAAGCUGGAAUCUGUAGUAAUCGUGUCUCAAAAUGGCACGGUGAAUAUGUCCCUGCUCCUU